rnacentral:sRNA from 1 species
GCUGGGUGCAGUGGUGAACACCUGUAAUCCCAGUGACUCGGGAGGCUGAGACAGGAGGAUCACAAGUUCAAAGCCAGUCCCAGCAAAAGUGAGGCAAUUCAGUGAGACCCUGUCGCUA